UUCUCCGUGUUCUUCCCCACACCCCUCCCUCCUUGGGAGACAAGCUUAGAAGAUUCCAGAGACAGAAGAAGUGUUGCAGAAUGCCUGCAGUUGAGGAAGCAGUAAAGAGAGCAUUAACAUU
rnacentral:lncRNA from 1 species